CCUACGGGAGGCAGCAGUGGGGAAUAUUGCACAAUGGGGGAAACCCUGAUGCAGCGACGCCGCGUGAGUGAAGAAGUAAUUCGUUAUGUAAAGCUCUAUCAGCAGGGAAGAAAAUGACGGUACCUGAGUACGAAGCCACGGCUAACUACGUUCCAGCAGCCGCGGGAAUACGUAGGGGGCAAGCGUUAUCCGGAUUUACUGGGUGUAAAGGGAGCGUAGACGGCCGUGCAAGUCUGGAGUGAAAGGCGGGGGCUCAACCCCCGGACUGCUCUGGAAACUGUACGGCGGGAGUGCAGGAGAGGUAAGUGGAAUUCCUAGUGUAGCGGUGAAAUGCGUAGAUAUUAGGCGGAACCCCAGUGGCGAAGGCGGCUUACUGGACUGUAACUGACGUUGAGGCGCGAAAGCGUGGGGAGCAAACAGGAUUAGAUACCCCUGUAGUC
rnacentral:rRNA from 1 species